rnacentral:SRP_RNA from 1 species
GCCGAGCCUUGUAACGUGGACUUGUGACCCGGGGGGGGGGGGGGGGGGUCAAUAGUGUGGUGGGAUGUUGGGUUGUUUCUGAAGGCUGGGCUUUGGGUGGCUAAUGUCUGGCCUGCCCUAUCCAAGCAUGGGGUUGAGUCAUGUGGCCCAAACCUAAGUAUGGGCUGCUUGGCUCCUAGAGUGGGGCGGACUGUGUGAGGCUGGAUUCACAGAGCAACGAACAGCUCCCGCUCUGUGCAGUUGAAGGAUAACGGGCCAGUGCUCUCCAAGUCCAACAAAAACCUAAUGGGCUUCUCCAGUUAAACCACCACUUUU